CCUACGGGAGGCAGCAGUGGGGAAUAUUGGACAAUGGGGGCAACCCUGAUCCAGCCAUGCCGCGUGUGUGAAGAAGGCCCUCGGGUUGUAAAGCACUUUCAGCGAGGAAGAACGCCUAGCGGUUAAUACCCGCUAGGAAAGACAUCACUCGCAGAAGAAGCACCGGCUAACUCCGUGCCAGCAGCCGCGGUAAUACGGAGGGUGCAAGCGUUAAUCGGAAUUACUGGGCGUAAAGCGCGCGUAGGUGGCUUGAUAAGCCGGUUGUGAAAGCCCCGGGCUCAACCUGGGAACGGCAUCCGGAACUGUCAAGCUAGAGUGCAGGAGAGGAAGGUAGAAUUCCCGGUGUAGCGGUGAAAUGCGUAGAGAUCGGGAGGAAUACCAGUGGCGAAGGCGGCCUUCUGGACUGACACUGACACUGAGGUGCGAAAGCGUGGGUAGCAAGCAGGAUUAGAUACCCUGGUAGUCCACGCCGUAAACGAUGUCGACCAGCCGUUGGGUGCCUAGCGCACUUUGUGGCGAAGUUAACGCGAUAAGUCGACCGCCUGGGGAGUACGGCCGCAAGGUUAAAACUCAAAUGAAUUGACGGA
rnacentral:rRNA from 1 species